rnacentral:misc_RNA from 1 species
GAUGAAGAACGUAGCGAAAUGCGAUAAGUAAUGUGAAUUGCAGAAUUCAGUGAAUCAUCGAAUCUUUGAACGCACAUUGCGCCUAUUAGUAUUCUAGUAGGCAUGCCUGUUCGAGCGUCAUUUCAACCCUCAAGCCCUGCUUGGUGUUGGGGCGUCUGCAGCUCCGGCUGCAGGCCCUGAAAUUCAGUGGCGGGCUCGCUAUAACUCCGAGCGUAGUAAUCUCUCUCGCUUUGGAAGUGUAGCGGGUUUCCGGCCGUAAAACCCCCAAAAUUCUGAAUGUUGACCUCGGAUCAGGUAGGAAUACCCGCUGAACUUAAGCAUAUCAAUAAGCGGAGGA